rnacentral:tRNA from 1 species
GGAGAGAUGUCCGAGUGGUUUAAGGUGCUCGCUUGGAAAGCGGGUGUACUCCAAAAGAGUACCCGGGGUUCGAAUCCCCGUCUCUCCG